GGAGCGAUACUCAAGAGGCCGAAGAGGGCGCACUGCUAACGCGUUAGACGGUUAACCCCGUGCGAGGGUUCAAAUCCCUCUCGCUCCGCCA
rnacentral:tRNA from 2 species